rnacentral:rRNA from 1 species
AUUGCACGCUGGCGGCAGGCCUAACACAUGCAAGUAGAACGAGUGGCGGACGGGUGAGUAAUGUCUGGGAAACUGCCCGAUGGAGGGGGAUAACUACUGGAAACGGUAGCUAAUACCGCAUACCAUCGGAUGUGCCCCGAUGGGAUUAGCGAGUAGGUGGGGUAAAGGCUCACCUAGGAGACGAUCCCUAGCUGGUCUGAGAGGAGGACCAGCCACACUGGCACUUAGACCCGGUCCAGACUCCUACGUGAGGCAGCAGGGGGGAAUAUUGCACAAUGGGCGCAAGCCUGAUGCAGCCUGGCCGCGUGUAUGAAGAAGGCCUUCGGGUUGUAAAGUACUUUCAGCGAGGAGGCGUUACUCGCAGAAGAAGCAUCGGCUAACUCCGUGCCAGCAGCCGCGGUAAGAC